rnacentral:rRNA from 1 species
CCAAGGAGUCUAACAUGUGCGCGAGUCAAUGGGGAUCUCUCGAGACCCACAGGCACAAUGAAAGUGAAGGCAAGCAUCAAAGUUUGCAGAGGCAAGACGAGUUAGUGGAGAACCCGUAAAAAGGUCUCCCUACUAAGCAUUGUCGGCCCGUCGUAAUCGCUUUACUGUCGAUGCGGCGGAGCAUGAGCGUACACGUUGGGACCCGAAAGAUGGUGAUCUAUGCUUGAGCAGGACGAAGCCAGAGGAAACUCUGGUGGAGGUCCGUAGCGAUUCUGACGUGCAAAUCGAUCGUCGGACUUGAGUAUAGGGGCGAAAGACUAAUCGAACCGUCUA